rnacentral:rRNA from 1 species
GAUGAACGCUGGCGGCGUGCCUAAUACAUGCAAGUCGAGCGAACAGACGAGGAGCUUGCUCCUCUGACGUUAGCGGCGGACGGGCGAGUAACACGUGGAUAACCUACCUAUAAGACUGGGAUAACUUCGGGAAACCGGAGCUAAUACCGGAUAAUAUAUUGAACCGCAUGGUUCAAUAGUGAAAGACGGUUUUGCUGUCACUUAUAGAUGGAUCCGCGCCGCAUUAGCUAGUUGGUAAGGUAACGGCUUACCAAGGCGGCGAUGCGUAGCCGACCUGAGAGGGUGAUCGGCCACACUGGAACUGAGACACGGUCCAGACUCCUACGGGAGGCAGCAGUAGGGAAUCUUCCGCAAUGGGCGAAAGCCUGACGGAGCAACGCCGCGUGAGUGAUGAAGGUCUUCGGAUCGUAAAACUCUGUUAUUAGGGAAGAACAAAUGUGUAAGUAACUAUGCACGUCUUGACGGUACCUAAUCAGAAAGCCACGGCUAACUACGUG